GGUUGACCUCGAAUCAGGUAGGACUACCCGCUGAACUUAAGCAUAU
rnacentral:rRNA from 1 species